rnacentral:rRNA from 1 species
GACGAACGCUGGCGGCGUGCUUAACACAUGCAAGUCGAACGGUAAGGCCCUUCGGGGUACACGAGUGGCGAACGGGUGAGUAACACGUGGGUGAUCUGCCCUGCACUUCGGGAUAAGCCUGGGAAACUGGGUCUAAUACCGGAUAGGACCAUGGACUUCACGGUUUGUGGUGGAAAGCUUUUGCGGUGUGGGAUGGGCCCGCGGCCUAUCAGCUUGUUGGUGGGGUAAUGGCCUACCAAGGCGACGACGGGUAGCCGGCCUGAGAGGGUGUCCGGCCACACUGGGACUGAGAUACGGCCCAGACUCCUACGGGAGGCAGCAGUGGGGAAUAUUGCACAAUGGGCGCAAGCCUGAUGCAGCGACGCCGCGUGAGGGAUGACGGCCU